UUGUUCUCAGACCUUACCCAACCUCCUUGCCAGUGUCAGCCUCCUGGAAUCAGCUUACAAGUUGGACUCACCUGUGGAACUAACUGUUGGACUUUUUGGACCGCCUCUCCUGCUUCUUGAUUCUUGGAACUUCAGUUCUCUAUUUCCACGUGCCUCCUCCCAAGUUGUCUGCCUCCAGAGUUACUUUCUUGCUGAACCUAGCCUCCCCGGAUCUUGUUCCCUUUGUUGCACAUUCUAGUUUUUUGUUGUUCACCACAUUGUAAAAAAAAUCACUUGAAUUUUA